GACGAACGCUGGCGGCGUGCUUAACACAUGCAAGUCGAACGAUGAAGCCGGAGCUUGCUCUGGUGAAUUAGUGGCGAACGGGUGAGUAACACGUGAGUAACCUGCCCUUGACUCUGGGAUAACUGCUAGAAAUGGUAGCUAAUACCGGAUACGACCCUCGGAGGCAUCUCCAGGGGGUGGAAAGAAUUUCGGUCAAGGAUGGACUCGCGGCCUAUCAGCUAGUUGGUGAGGUAACGGCUCACCAAGGCGACAACGGGUAGCCGGCCUGAGAGGGUGACCGGCCACACUGGGACUGAGACACGGCCCAGACUCCUACGGGAGGCAGCAGUGGGGAAUAUUGCACAAUGGGCGCAAGCCUGAUGCAGCAACGCCGCGUGAGGGAUGACGGCUUUCGGGUUGUAAACCUCUUUUAGUAGGGAAGAAGCGAAAGUGACGGUACCUGCAGAAAAAGCACCGGCUAACUACGUGCCAGCCGCCGCGGUAA
rnacentral:rRNA from 1 species